rnacentral:misc_RNA from 1 species
AAGUCGUAACAAGGUUUCCGUAGGUGAACCUGCGGAAGGAUCAUUAAUAAUGAAGCCGGGCAACCGGUCCUUCUAACCCUUGAUUAUCUUAAUUUGUUGCUUUGGUGGGCCGCGCAAGCACCGGCUUAGGCUGGAUCGUGCCCGCCAGAGGACCCCUAACUCUGUUUCUAUAAUGUUUCUUCUGAGUAAAACAAGCAAAUAAAUUAAAACUUUCAACAACGGAUCUCUUGGCUCUG